rnacentral:rRNA from 1 species
UACGUAGGGGGCAAGCGUUAUCCGGAUUUACUGGGUGUAAAGGGAGCGUAGACGGCGAUGCAAGUCUGAAGUGAAAGCCCGGGGCUCAACCCCGGGACUGCUUUGGAAACUGUAUGGCUGGAGUGCUGGAGAGGCAAGCGGAAUUCCUAGUGUAGCGGUGAAAUGCGCAGAUAUUAGGAAGAACACCAGUGGCGAAGGCGGCUUGCUGGACAGUAACUGACGUUGAGGCUCGAAAGCGUGUGGAGCAAACA